rnacentral:rRNA from 1 species
CCGGUUGAUCCCGCCGGACCUGACUGCUAUCGGAUUAAUACUAAGCCAUGCGAGUUUUUGUAGUAAUACAAGGCAUACGGCUCAGUAACACGUAGUCAACCUACCCUAUGGACGAGGAUAAUCUCGGGAAACUGAGCAUAAUACUCGAUAGAUCAUAAUGCCUGGAAUGGUUUAUGGUUGAAAUGAUUCGUUCGCCAUAGGAUGGGACUGCGGCCUAUCAGCUUGUUGGUGAGGUAAUGGCCCACCAAGGCGAUUACAGGUACGGGCUCUGAGAGGAGAAGCCCGGAGAUGGGUACUGAGACACGGACCCAGGCCCUAUGGGGCGCAGCAGGCGAGAAAACUUUGCAAUGUGCGAAAGCACGACAAGGUUAGUCCGAGUGAUUUCUGCUAAAGAGAUCUUUUGCAAGUCAUAAAACCACUAGUGAAUAAGGGGUGGGCAAGUUCUGGUGUCAGCCGCCGCGGUAAAACCAGCACCUCAAGUGGUCAGGAGGAUUAUUGGGCCUAAAGCAUCCGUAGCCGGCUCUGUAAGUUUUCGGUUAAAUCCAUGCGCUCAACGCAUGGGCUGUCGGAAAUACUGCAGAGCUAGGGAGUGGGAGAGGUAGACGGUACUCGGUAGGAAGGGGUAAAAUCCUUUGAUCAAUCGAUGACCACCUGUGGCGAAGGCGGUCUACCAGAACACGUUCGACGGUGAGGGAUGAAAGCUGGGGGAGCAAACCGGAUUAGAUACCCGGGUAGUCCCAGCUGUAAACGAUGCAGACUCGAUGAUGCAUUGGCAUAUAGCCAGUGCAGUGUCGCAGGGAAGCCGUUAAGUCUGCCGCCUGGGAAGUACGUACGCAAGUAUGAAACUUAAAGGAAUUGGCGGGGGAGCACCACAAGGGGUGAAGCCUGCGGUUCAAUUGGAUUCAACGCCGGG